rnacentral:rRNA from 1 species
UCCUACGGGAGGCAGCAGCAGGGAAUAUUGCACAAUGGGCGAAAGCCUGAUGCAGCAGCGCCGCGUGUGGGAUGAAGGUCUUCGGAUUGUAAACCUCUUUUACAGGGGACGAGUGAGGACGGUACCCUGUGAAUAAGCAACGGCUAACUACGUGCCAGCACCCGCGGUAAUA